GAUUUAUAGAAACACUCUUUCAAACUGCCCACAAAUGAAUACAAAUGGAACCAUUGAAUAUGUGAAAUGCUCUUCUGUGGCUGCCUGGGUUUGUAAAAGGAGUGUAGAUGCCAAAAUGUUUUGGGAAUACCCUGGUUGGAUACUCAUCAUGCCUUUGGGAAACAAAAUGUAUAACCAUAAAGAACAUGCAGAGUCAGCAUGCUUCUUAGAAGAAACAUGUACCGGAGUCACCUACUGGAAGGAGAAAUAUGUACCAGUCAGUGGUGAAGAACUGAUUUUACCAAUGUCAAAACGUGAUUCUACAUAUAUAAAAACUGCUUGCAGUGAAGGACAUUAUGGAUCCUAUUGUCAGAGAAGAUGCCCAGACUGUCCAAAAGAUAGACCAUGCAAUAGAUUGUUAGGACAAUGUGCUGGUGAGGUGACUUGUCUAGAAAAAAAUUCUUUGGCACGCUGUGAAAUU